rnacentral:rRNA from 1 species
AACGAACGCUGGCGGCAUGCCUAACACAUGCAAGUCGAACGAGACCUUCGGGUCUAGUGGCGCACGGGUGCGUAACGCGUGGGAACCUGCCCUUAGGUUCGGAAUAACUCCCCGAAAUGGGUGCUAAUACCGGAUAAUUUCUUCGGACCAAAGAUUUAUCGCCUUUGGAUGGGCCCGCGUUGGAUUAGCUAGUUGGUAGGGUAAAAGCCUACCAAGGCGACGAUCCAUAGCUGGUCUGAGAGGAUGAGCAGCCACACUGGGACUGAGACACGGCCCAGACUCCUACGGGAGGCAGCAGUGGGGAAUAUAGGACAAUGGGCGAAAGCAUGAACCAGCAAUGCCGCGUGAGUGAUGAAGGCCUUAGGGUUGUAAAGCUCUUUUACCCGGGAUGAUAAUGACAGUACCGGGAGAAUAAGCUCCGGCUAACUCCGUG